rnacentral:rRNA from 1 species
CAGGUCUUGACAUCCCACUGACCGGUUUAGAGAUAAGCCUUUCCCUUCGGGGACAGUGGUGACAGGUGGUGCAUGGUUGUCGUCAGCUCGUGUCGUGAGAUGUUGGGUUAAGUCCCGCAACGAGCGCAACCCUUGAUCUUAGUUGCCAGCAUUCAGUUGGGCACUCUAAGGUGACUGCCGGUGAUAAACCGGAGGAAGGUGGGGAUGACGUCAAAUCAUCAUGCCCCUUAUGACCUGGGCUACACACGUGCUACAAUGGACGAUACAAAGGGCUGCAAACCCGCGAGGGGGAGCCAAUCCCAUAAAAUCGUUCUCAGUUCGGAUUGUAGGCUGCAACUCGCCUACAUGAAGCCGGAAUCGCUAGUAAUCGUGGAUCAGCAUGCCACGGUGAAUACGUUCCC